AAGCGUGCGCAGGCGGUUUUGUAAGACUGUCGUGAAAUCCCCGGGCUCAACCUGGGAAUGGCGAUGGUGACUGCAAGGCUAGAGUUUGGCAGAGGGGGGUAGAAUUCCACGUGUAGCAGUGAAAUGCGUAGAUAUGUGGAGGAACACCGAUGGCGAAGGCAGCCCCCUGGGUCAAAACUGACGCUCAUGCACGAAAGCGUGGGGAGCAAACAGGAUUAGAUACCCCUUGU
rnacentral:rRNA from 1 species